CAGCAGCCGCGGUAAUACGGAAGGUCCAGGCGUUAUCCGGAUUUAUUGGGUUUAAAGGGAGCGUAGGCGGAUUGUUAAGUCAGCGGUUAAAGGGUGUGGCUCAACCAUGCAUUGCCGUUGAAACUGGCGAUCUUGAGUGCAGACAGGGAUGCCGGAAUUCGUGGUGUAGCGGUGAAAUGCUCAGAUAUCACGAAGAACUCCGAUCGCGAAGGCAGGUGUCCGGGCUGCAACUGACGCUGAGGCUCGAAAGUGUGGGUAUCAAACAGGAUUAGAUACCCUGGUAGUCCACACAGUAAACGAUGUAUACUCGCGGUUUGCGAUAGAGUGUAAGCCGCCAAGCGAAAGCAUUAAGUAUACCACCUGGGGAGUACGCCGGCAACGGUGAAACUCAAAGGAAUUGACGGGGGCCCGCACAAGCGGAGGAACAUGUGGUUUAAUUCGAUGAUACGCGAGGAACCUUACCCGGGCUUGAACUAACGGCGACAGAUCUAGAGAUAGAUUUUUCUUCGGACACCGUUGGAGGUGCUGCAUGGUUGUCGUCAGCUCGUGCCGUGAGGUGUCGGCUUAAGUGCCAUAACGAGCGCAACCCUUCUCCUCGGUUGCCAUCGGGUAAUGCCGGGCACUCCGUGGACACUGCCAUCGUAAGAUGUGAGGAAGGUGGGGAUGACGUCAAAUCAGCACGGCCCUUACGUCCGGGGCUACACACGUGUUACAAUGGGGGGUACAGAAGCCGCUACCCGGCGACGGGAUGCUAAUCUUUAAAACCUCUCUCAGUUCGGAUCGGAGUCUGCAACCCGACUCCGUGAAGCUGGAUUCGCUAGUAAUCGCGCAUCAGCCAUGGCGCGGUGAAUACGUUCCCGGGCCUUGUACACACCACCCGUCAAGCCAUGAAAGCCGGGGGUGCCUGAAAGCCGUGACCGCAAGGCUCGGCCUAGGGUAAAACCGGUGAUUGGGGCUAAGUCGUAACAAGGUAGCCGUA
rnacentral:rRNA from 1 species